rnacentral:rRNA from 1 species
GAUGAACGCUGGCGGCGUGCCUAAUACAUGCAAGUCGAGCGAAAGGACGCGACGCUUGCUUCUCUGUUGUUAGCGGCGGACGGGUGAGUCACACGUGGAUCAUCUACCUAUCAGACUGGGAUAACUUCGGGACACCGGCGCUAAUACCGGAUAAUAUCUUGCACCGCAUGGUUCAAAGGUGAAAGUCGGUCUUGCUGUAACUUCUAGAUGGUUCCGCGCUGCAUUAGCUAGUUGGUAAGGUAACGGCUUAUCAAGGCAACGAUGCAUAGCCGACCGGUGAGGGGGAUAGGCGACACGAGAACUGGGACAGGGUCCAUACUCCUACGGGAGGCACCAGUAUGGAAUCGUCCGCAAUAGUCGAAAGCCUUGCGGAACAACGCGACGUGAGUUAUGAAGGUCUUCGGAGCGGGAAACCCUGUUAUGAGUUAAGAACAGAUUUGGAAGUAACUGAACACAGCGUGACGGUACCGAAUCAAAAAGCCACGGCUAACUACGUG